GCCUAGGUGGUGGAAUUGGCAGACACGCUAGCUUCAGGGGCUAGUUCCCGAAAGGGAGUGGGAGUUCAAAUCUCCCCCUGGGCA
rfam:Candidatus Colwellbacteria bacterium RIFCSPLOWO2_02_FTLL_45_11 rifcsplowo2_02_scaffold_3545, whole genome shotgun sequence.